rnacentral:rRNA from 1 species
UACGGGGGGGGGCAAGCGUUGUUCGGAAUUACUGGGCGUAAAGGGCUCGUAGGCGGCCAACUAAGUCGGACGUGAAAUCCCCUCGGCUUAACCGGGGAACUGCGUCCGAUACUGGAUGGCUUGAGUUUGGGAGAGGGAUGCGGAAUUCCAGGUGUAGCGGUGAAAAUGCGUAGAUAUCUGGAGGAACACCGGUGGCGAAGGCGGCAUCCUGGACCAACACUGACGCUGAGGAGCGAAAAGCCAGGGGGAGCAAACGGG